AGGUCUCACUCACCAUUCAAGGAUUUACUCUUUGCACUAAUUUUCUUAUCGUAGAAUUUCACAGGUCUGAUAUGGUCCUUGGGAUAGUAUGGUUGCACACUUUAGGUCCUUGAGGUUAUUCCUCCACUUUCUCAUUUCAGUUGUAGUAGGAAGUUACUUCCUUGUUUCCAGAUGGGUGGUUAAUCCACCAGUAUUGUACAUUAUUUGCAUUUAGUGAAA
rnacentral:misc_RNA from 1 species